UACGUAGGGUGCGAGCGUUGUCCGGAUUUAUUGGGCGUAAAGAGCUCGUAGGCGGUUUGUCGCGUCGGCCGUGAAAUCUCCACGCUUAACGUGGAGCGUGCGGUCGAUACGGGCAGACUUGAGUUCGGUAGGGGAGACUGGAAUUCCUGGUGUAGCGGUGGAAUGCGCAGAUAUCAGGAGGAACACCAAUAGCGAAGGCAGCUCGCUGGGACGGUACUGA
rnacentral:rRNA from 1 species